rnacentral:rRNA from 1 species
UACGUAGGGGGCAAGCGUUGUCCGGAUUUAUUGGGCGUAAAGAGCGUGUAGGCGGCCAGACAGGUCCGUUGUGAAAACUCGAGGCUCAACCUCGAGACGUCGACGGAAACCGUCUGGCUAGAGUCCGGAAGGGGAGUGUGGAAUUCCUGGUGUAGCGGUGAAAUGCGCAGAUAUCAGGAAGAACACCUAUGGCGAAGGCAGCACUCUGGGACGGUACUGACGCUGAGACGCGAAAGCGUGGGGAGCGAACAGG